CUGGCAGCCCCGGUGCAGCGCCCGCUCCCCCGGCGUGCGCCCCGCUGCGGCGUGUGGCGCGGCCGGGCUGGCCGUUGCCUUCCUGAUCGCCAGACUUUGUACCACAAGAUCUGUGCCCAGACAUAGCCAGCUUCCUAUUUUCAGUCCCCACGCAUAAGCAGAGCUACAACAAAGUGACAUUUUACACGGGGUUUUGGGAUUUGGAACUUAUUUGCACCCCAGUCAUGGUAAUACAGCAAUAACGCUCUUUUGUGCCAGUGUUUCCACAGCACUCUGAAACAGCAUAUCCUUACUUCAGAAGAAGGUUGUGAGGAGACAGCUUCCAUUGCACCAUUUUCCUAGCAAAAGAAGUUACAAUCUCCAGGCAAAAGCUUCUUUCAGGCCUGUCAGCCAUAGUCCAGAUAUCCUGGCUUGCGUCAGCUUGUUUCACAACAUCAAGGUCCUUUGGAGGCCAGAUUUUUAAAGGCUGCAACAAGUACUUCUGCAAAGAAGCAAAUUUCAUCUAUCUUACUGCUGAAAGUCACCUUGAGAAUCACAGACUGCCAUUUGUACCCUCAAAUUGGGACAAUGCAAAUGCGCUUCAGUUUGUAUGAAUAAAUGUACACCAUGAAACAAAAAGUCAACUUUCCUGCCUCCUUUGGAGCUCAUUUUUAAAAAUUGCUUUGAAAUGACAAGAUCCACAUGAACAAAACAAUCCAUUGGACCUGUGCUUCAAAAAACCUAUAUUCCCAUGCUAAGUAGCUAUUUCAUUAGAUACACACAGGUAUGCAGAUAUAUGCAUUAGGAUGUGAGCCAGGGAGGAUCUGCCCUGAAGGCAGAUCUCUGUGCAUGUGUGCAGCCAUGUUGGUAGGGAAUGGAAGGCUGCACAGAGCCAGG
rnacentral:lncRNA from 1 species